GGGGAUGACAGGCUUCGACGGGCGAGGCUGGUCCCGGACGGCAAGCCGAGAGGUACCGAACUCGUAAAAUCCGUACAAAAAUUAAGUGCCAAUCGCACUCAAUAUGCAGCAAUGCCUUUAGCCGCCUAGGCUAAGAGCAAAGCUCACAUGACGCCCUAAGAAGCGUCACGUCUUCCUGCUCCGCUCUUGAACCGGCAGCAGUGCGGACGUCAAAAAGUUCAAGUGCUGUGCAGUACGUCACGGGCUGCGCAAAAGAGGGCUUUCGGGUCUGAGUGACUGGCCGGUCUGUGUUUUUGUUCGUUUCACACAGGCAGGCGACACUCAAAACGGACUACGCUUGUAGAAGUUCGAGGGUCUAUUCGUUCGGACGCGGGUUCAAUUCCCGCCAUCUCCACCU
rnacentral:tmRNA from 1 species